AAGUGCUUGAAGAGCAUAUCUACCAAAACAAAUACGAUUGCCUCGGCAGGAUUUUCCUUUCAUUCUUCCUCUAUGUUGUUUGCGAAAUCUGGUUCUUUUGGGGUUAUAGUCGAUGGUUCUCUUUCUUAGUUCCAUCUCUACUGCAAAACUGGACAUGAGAGUUUCUUCUCAUCCAGCUCCUCGCGAAUGGAAUGAGAAAGCAUGUAAAUUUCUCUAAUUCAUAAUAUUCAAAAAUAUUACGGUACGGAUAGAUACACAUUAAUAGAUAAUAGAAAAAGUUCGGUUUUUUUUAUAUUGAAUUUGUUAAAACAGAAAAAUAUAAUAUAUAGUCAAAAAAGAAGAUCUAGAAUAUAUCCAGAUGUGUGUGUAUAUUUAUCUAAAUUCUAUAUUUAUAGAUAAUGUAAUCCUUCUUAAAAAAAUCCUUAUUUUUACUCUUAUUGAAUCGCGGUAAAGUAUUCUAAUUCAAUAAGAAUUUCGCGGGCGAAUAUUUACUCUUUCCUGUCUUAUUUGUUAAUUUAUAAACUUACCAAAUAAGACAAUUUUUUUGGUUUGUUCCGCCAUCCCACCCAAUGAAGUGUUAGGAUUCUUUUCAAUAAAAUCCUAUGGAAUCAUAGGUUCUGUCGUUCCCACUGCUUCUCCUUGAAUGGUUAGGUCUGAAUCCCGCAACGGAGCUUCCAAAAAAUUUCUUUCCGAGUUAAUUUUCUUAGUUUUAUUAACCCGGGCGGCUCUUUAUUAUUGCUUUAAAUUUGUAGUUCUUGUUUCAAGUUAAAAUUUUUAAUUCUCUAUUAUUUUUAUUAUAUUGAUGCUUUAUCACAUUGCCUUUUAUGAUGUAAUUCAUAGACCAUACAUAGUGGAAUCCUAUAUCUUAUUUAUUUCCUCUUCCUUCUUUCUAUCAUCCCUCCCUUUAUCCACAUCCCUUUAGUUUUGCUUCACAACCUAGAAUCCCUUUUCUUUUUUAGAGAAAAAAUUGCAGUUGCUACAACUAUAUGACACAUCUACUCAUUUAUGAUAGAGGUAUUUAUUCAUACAGUGACUGUUUCUUAGUUAGGAUCUCGACAAUACGAAGCAAUAGGUUGGUUAUUAGUUAAUUUUCUAUAAUUACUAAGUUUUUUUCUUAAAAAAAAGAAAAAAAUAACGAGUCACACACUAAGCAUAGCAAUUAUAUUAAAUGAUUUAUCAAUUUUCAUUAAAUCUUAUAGAAAGAGGUAUAAUUUCUUCUUUUGCAGGGAUUUCAGGAAAAAAGUCUCUUGUCAUUUUUGAUUCUAUCAAUGGACAGAAUCCGAAGACAAGAUUACUUAUUCUUCGUCUACGAAUAUCCAAAUUUUUACACCUAAUACUCCAUAGAUAGUCCGAAUUGGAUAGCAGCAAUAAUCAAUUUUAGCGCGAAUUGUUUGGAGGGGAAGUCUACCCUUUUUAAUGGAUUCGGCGCGUGCAAUUUCUUUUCCUCCGAGACGACCCGCAAUUUUUACUUUUACUCCCCUUAUAUCUGCUUUUUUAGUUAAUUCAAUGGCUUUUUUCAUUGCCUUUCGGAAUGAAAAUUGAUAAAUCAUUUAAUAUAAUUGCUAUGCUUAGUGUGUGACUCGUUAUUUUUUUCUUUUUUUUAAGAAAAAAACUUAGUAAUUAUAGAAAAUUAACUAAUAACCAACCUAUUGCUUCGUAUUGUCGAGAUCCUAACUAAGAAACAGUCACUAUAUGAAUAAAUACCUCUAUCAUAAAUGAGUAGAUGUGUCAUAUAGUUGUAGCAACUGCAAUUUUUUCUCUAAAAAAGAAAAGGGAUUCUAGGUUGUGAAGCAAAACUAAAGGGAUGUGGAUAAAGGGAGGGAUGAUAGAAAGAAGGAAGAGGAAAUAAAUAAGAUAUAGGAUUCCACUAUGUAUGGUCUAUGAAUUACAUCAUAAAAGGCAAUGUGAUAAAGCAUCAAUAUAAUAAAAAUAAUAGAUAAUGUAAUCCUUCUUAAAAAAAUCCUUAUUUUGACUCUUAUUGAAUCGCGGUAAAGUAUUCUAAUUCAAUAAGAAUUUCGCGGGCGAAUAUUUACUCUUUCCUGUCUUAUUUGUUAAUUUAUAAACUUACCAAAUAAGACAAUUUUUUUGGUUUGUUCCGCCAUCCCACCCAAUGAAGUGUUAGGAUUCUUUUCAAUAAAAUCCUAUGGAAUCAUAGGUUCUGUCGUUCCCACUGCUUCUCCUUGAAUGGUUAGGUCUGAAUCCCGCAACGGAGCUUCCAAAAAAUUUCUUUCCGAGUUAAUUUUCUCAGUUUUAUUAACCCGGGCGGCUCUUUAUUAUUGCUUUAAAUUUGUAGUUCUUGUUUCAAGUUAAAAUUUUUAAUUCUCUAUUAUUUUUAUUAUAUUGAUGCUUUAUAACAUUGCCUUUUAUGAUGUAAUUCAUAGACCAUACAUAGUGGAAUCCUAUAUCUUAUUUAUUUCCUCUUCCUUCUUUCUAUCAUCCCUCCCUUUAUCCACAUCCCUUUAGUUUUGCUUCACAACCUAGAAUCCCUUUUCUUUUUUAGAGAAAAAAUUGCAGUUGCUACAACUAUAUGACACAUCUACUCAUUUAUGAUAGAGGUAUUUAUUCAUAUAGUGACUGUUUCUUAGUUAGGAUCUCGACAAUACGAAGCAAUAGGUUGGUUAUUAGUUAAUUUUCUAUAAUUACUAAGUUUUUUUCUUAAAAAAAAGAAAAAAAUAACGAGUCACACACUAAGCAUAGCAAUUAUAUUAAAUGAUUUAUCAAUUUUCAUUAAAUCUUAUAGAAAGAGGUAUAAUUUCUUCUUUUGCAGGGAUUUCAGGAAAAAAGUCUCUUGUCAUUUUUUAUUCUAUCAAUGGACAGAAUCCGAAGACAAGAUUACUUAUUCUUCGUCUACGAAUAUCCAAAUUUUUAC
rnacentral:lncRNA from 1 species